rnacentral:rRNA from 1 species
GACGAACGCUGGCGGCGUGCUUAACACAUGCAAGUCGAACGGAAAGGCCCUUCGGGGUACUCGAGUGGCGAACGGGUGAGUAACACGUGGGUGAUCUGCCCUGCACUUUGGGAUAAGCCUGGGAAACUGGGUCUAAUACCGAAUAGGACCACGCGCUUCAUGGUGUGUGGUGGAAAGCUUUUGCGGUGUGGGAUGGGCCCGCGGCCUAUCAGCUUGUUGGUGGGGUAAUGGCCUACCAAGGCGACGACGGGUAGCCGGCCUGAGAGCGUGACCGGCCACACUGGGACUGAGAUACGGCCCAGACUCCUACGGGAGGCAGCAGUGGGGAAUAUUGCACAAUGGGCGCAAGCCUGAUGCAGCGACGCCGCGUGAGGGAUGACGGCCUUCGGGUUGUAAACCUCUUUCAAUAGGGACGAAGCGCAAGUGACGGUACCUAUAGAAGAAGCACCGGCCAACUCCGUG